UUUUCCAAACCGACCUAUGGUCAACUUCUCAAUAAACCGGCACAACCAACAGCCAGCUUAUUUAAGGGAGGAUGGUCGACACUUUGGGGCAUGCUUGGAUAGUGGAUUGAAAUGCCUGUGUGCACAAGUGGCAGCUGGGACGAUCAUCUCAGAGCCCAAGCAAAGAGAGGAUUCGUAGUAAGGUUCCAUCGUGUAUAAGCCGUGGAAGAGCCCAAGUGAGCGCUGAAAGUGUUGGGUCGCAUCACUGCCCAAGAAUCGCAGUUGUAGCUGAAUCAAAGAUACAUUGAAAGAUGCAGAAUCGAACCGUUUUUGGUAUUCUAGCCGGGAGUAAGGAUAAAAAAAGGAUCAUGCAGAAUAAUAAGGGCCCAUACACCUCGGGAAGCAGACUGAAAGCCUAAGGAUGCAAACGAUUUCACUGGGAGCUAUUUUCUGCCUUAGCCUUUGUCUUUGAGAGGGCUCAGGCCACAAUAGACAAGACGAUCUAAAUCUAUAAAAAGAACAUUCUGGAAACAAAAAUCAAACGAUCAUAAGAGUGUUGAAUGCUUCUCAAAGUGUUCAUUGGAUUGCAGUGCCUUUCUUAGUGGUGGGGGCAGCUUUAAAAGUUAUAAGCACCAUUAACAAUAACAAGGAGUGUUUCAUACUUCUUGAGUCUAUGAAUAAUUUGUCAAAAGUGAUACUCCAAUUUCAAAAUACUCCUAUUGGAAAGAUGGACUUGCAUGCUGAAUUGAAUGAGUCUGUACAAUUAAUUGUGAAAGGAGCCAUCCUUUCUUGCUCUCAGGAAAGUAAAGGAUAUAUGAGAGGGGACAAAGAUUUCAUGGAUAGACAGGAGCUUCAACAACUUACUAAAAAUAAAGAUGACAUGUGAAUACACUUCAUGUGGAGGCCUUUGCUUUGACAAGCUUGUAUAUAGUUGGACCUGGACCUGUUUCGGCGUUCAACCAAGAUUCAAGUAAAACAUCACCAGAAAUGCGGCGUAAAGUGAAGCUAGGAGAUUCAUCCACUUCCACAUUUCGACAGGAUCAAAGGGAGUCAGGAAUUGCGCCACAACCAUCUCCAGCAGCCUCAACCAUUUGUAGAGUUCGUCAAGACUUGAGGGCUAUCCAACCAGAAAAAUACAAUCCUAAGAGAGUGGCAUUAGGAAUUUGUAAUCAUGCAGUGAGUCCGUACUUGUCUGAAAUGGAUAAGGAAAAGGUGAAUAUGGGUAAAGAAAAGGUGAAUAUGGGUGAAGAAAAGGUGAAGGCAUUAUGCACCACGAUCAAAAGGCUAAAAGAUGCGACUGUCGAAAGUUUGGUGGCAGAGAUUCAGGGAUUUGACCUGGAAAUUAGGAAAUGGUAUGACCACAGCAGGGAUAGUUUACCUGAGGAAAUAUUGGCAUGGAAUUUCGCUAUGGAUGGUUGUUUUAUAUUGGAAUUUUUCAGAUCGUUAUACAGGAUUGAAGAUCCCAUUGUUGAGAGGGAGAUAAUGACUGAUAUUCUCAUGUUGGAAAAUCAGAUCCCUUUAUUUGUUUUGAAAAAAAUACUUGAACUGGAGUUUCAAACGCCUGAAAAAACAAUCUCUUGCAAUUCUUCCUUUUUCAAUGGAAAUUCUUCUAACAGAAGUUGAAGAAAAUAUGAAAGAAGACCCAAGCAAGAAGACCCAAGCCAUUUGUUGCACUUGUUAAGCAAAAGCAUAGAGGCUUUCUUACGGCCCUCAAAUGUUCCUAUAAGUGACUGGAGGGAUUAUAUAUUUGCAGUUGUGGACAUUGAACAAAAAUUUCCAAUCAGAUUCAAACCUAGCAGAGAUGGACAAGUACGAUUUAAAAAGGGAUGGUUUGGAUCAAGUACACUUUAUCUUCCUCAAAUCUAUAUUUCCGAAGAAACAGAACCACUUUUAUGGAACUUGAUGGCUUUUGCAAUUAAGUCAGAGAACAACAUAAUUGCUCAUUUUAUAUUUUUUAUGAAUUGCAUAAUGAGUUUAAACAAUAAAACUAUUGCUCUGCUUAAGAAAAAGCAAAUUAUUAUUAGCAAAAAGAGUGAAGAAGAGUUGCAUGCAAUGUUCAGUGGGCUCACCAAAAGAAUAUGUGGCUGUGGCCCAUUUGAUAAUUUGGAGAGACAGGUAAGAGAACAUUGUAGCAGCCCAUUCAACAAUUGGAUGUUAUGGUUUCUCUGUCUACUAUUUCAAUUUGCUUUCGGUGGACU